rnacentral:rRNA from 1 species
UACGGAGGGUGCAAGCGUUGUCCGGAUUCAUUGGGUUUAAAGGGUGCGUAGGCGGUCUUUUAAGUCAGCGGUGAAAUCCCCACGCUCAACGUGGGAACUGCCGUUGAUACUGAGGGACUUGAGUUCGUCCGAGGUCGCUGGAAUGCGUGGUGUAGCGGUGAAAUGCAUAGAUAUCACGCAGAACACCGAUUGCGAAGGCAGGUGACUGGGACGCGACUGACGCUGAUGCACGAAAGUGUGGGGAGCAAACAGG